UACGUAGGGUGCGAGCGUUGUCCGGAAUUAUUGGGCGUAAAGAGCUUGUAGGCGGUCUGUCGCGUCUGCUGUGAAAAUCCGGGGCUCAACCCCGGACUUGCAGUGGGUACGGGGCAGACUAGGAGUGAUGUAGGGGAGACUGGAAUUCCUGGUGUAGCGGUGAAAUGCGCAGAUAUCAGGAGGAACACCGAUGCGAAGGCGGCCGCCUGGGCCAGUCCUGACGCUGGAGCCGCGAAAGCGUGGGGAGCAAACAGG
rnacentral:rRNA from 1 species